rnacentral:sRNA from 1 species
GCUGGGUGCGGUGGCACACGCCUGCAAUCCCAGCAGCUUGGGAGGCUGAGGCAGGAGGAUCACAAGUUCAAAACCAGCCUCAGCAACUUAGUGAGGCACUAAACAACUUAGUGACAUCCUGUCUCUA